rnacentral:rRNA from 1 species
GACGAACGCUGGCGGCGGGCUUAACACAUGCAAGUCGAACGGAAAGGCCCUGCUUGUGUGGGGUGCUCGAUGGGCGAACGGGGGAGUAAGACGUGAGUAACCUGCCCUUGACUUUGGGAUAACUUCAGGAAACGGGGGCUAAUACCGGAUAGCAGCCCCUGCUGCAUGGUGGGGGUGGGAUAGUUUCGGCGGGUGGGGAUGGACUCGCGGCUUAUCAGCUUGUUGGUGGGGUAGUGGCUUACCAAGGCUUUGACGGGUAGCCGGCCUGAGAGGGGGAACGGCCACAUUGGGACUGAGGUACGGCCCAGACUGCUACGGGAGGCAGCAGUGGGGAAUAUUGCACAAUGGGCGGAAGCCUGAUGCAGCAACGCCGCGUGCGGGAUGACGGCCUUCGGGUUGUAAACCGCUUUCGCCUGUGACGAAGCGUGAGUGACGGUAAUGGAUAAAGAAGCACCGGCUAACUACGUG